GAGUUUGAUCAUGGCUCAGAUUAAACGCUGGCGGCAUGCCUUACACAUGCAAGUCGAACGGUAGCGCGGGGCAACCUGGCGACGAGUGGCGAACGGGUGAGUAAAGCAUCGGAACGUGCCCUGGAAUGGGGGAUAACGUAGCGAAAGUUACGCUAAUACCGCAUAUUCUGUGAGCAGGAAAGCAGGGGAUCGCAAGACCUUGCGUUCUGGGAGCGGCCGAUGUCGGAUUAGCUAGUUGGUGGGGUAAAAGCCUACCAAGGCGACGAUCCGUAGCGGGUCUGAGAGGAUGAUCCGCCACACUGGGACUGAGACACGGCCCAGACUCCUACGGGAGGCAGCAGUGGGGAAUUUUGGACAAUGGGCGAAAGCCUGAUCCAGCCAUGCCGCGUGUCUGAAGAAGGCCUUCGGGUUGUAAAGGACUUUUGUCAGGGAGCAAAACUUACUGGUUAAUACCCGGUGAGGCUGAGAGUACCUGAAGAAUAAGCACCGGCUAACUACGUG
rnacentral:rRNA from 1 species